GAUGAACGCUAGCUACAGGCUUAACACAUGCAAGUCGAGUGACCGGCGCACGGGCGAGUAACAUGUAUCCAACCUGCCCUUUACUCGGCGAUAGCCUUUCGAAAGAAAGAUUAAUACCCGAUAUAAAGGAUGGGGAUGCGUUCCAUUAGGUUGUUGGUGAGGUAACGGCCCACCAAGCCUUCGAUGGAUAGGGGUUCUGAGAGGAAGGUCGCACACAUUGGAACUGGGACACAGGCCAAACUCCUACUGGAGGCAACAGUGGGGAGUAUUGGUAAAUGGGCACUAGCCUGAACCUGCCAAGUAGCAUGAAGGAUUAAGGCUUAUGGGUCGUAAACUUGUUUUUUAUAAAAAUGGGUAUUAUAUGAAUAGUGAUCGGGUAACUCCGUGCCAGCAGCCGCGGUAAUUC
rnacentral:rRNA from 1 species